rnacentral:tRNA from 1 species
GCCUGGGUGGCUCAGUCAGUUGAGCAUCUGACUUCAGCUCAGGUCAUGAUCUCACAGUUUGUGGGUUCGAGCCCCACAUCCGGCU